rnacentral:tRNA from 1 species
AUUAAAAUAGCUUUGGAAGCGUAGUAACUGUUAAUUACUUGAACUGGUUCAACUCCAGAUUUUAAUG